GACGAACGCUGGCGGCGUGCUUAACACAUGCAAGUCGAACGGAAAGGCCCUGCUUUUGUGGGGUGCUCGAGUGGCGAACGGGUGAGUAACACGUGAGUAACCUGCCCUUGACUUUGGGAUAACUUCAGGAAACUGGGGCUAAUACCGGAUAGGAGCUCCUGCUGCAUGGUGGGGGUUGGAAAGUUUCGGCGGUUGGGGAUGGACUCGCGGCUUAUCAGCUUGUUGGUGGGGUAGUGGCUUACCAAGGCUUUGACGGGUAGCCGGCCUGAGAGGGUGACCGGCCACAUGGGUACUGAGAUACGGCCCAGACUCCUACGUUAGGCAGCGGUGGGGAAUAUUGCACAAUGGGCGGGAGCCUGAUGCAGCAACGCCGCGUGCGGAAUGACGGCCUUCUGGUUGUGAACCGCUUUCGCCUGUGACGAAGCGUGAGUGACGGUAAUGGGUAAAGAAGCACCGGCUAACUACGUG
rnacentral:rRNA from 1 species